GGAGAUGUGGCUCAAGUGGUAGCGCGCUCGCCUGGAAUGCGUGCGGCCUGGGUUCGAUCCUCAGCACCA
rnacentral:tRNA from 1 species